GAGUUGUAAUUUGCAGAGGAUGUCAUGAGAUUAGUGUGGACUCAAGUUCUUUGGAAAAAGACGCCAUGGAGAGUGACAGUCUCGUCCUGUCCAAUUACUAGUCUCUCGUAUGACUCCUUCAAAGAGUCGAGUUGUUUGGGAAUGCAGCUCAAAGUGGGACGUAAAUUUGUUCCAAAGCUAAAUACCGGCUAGAGACCGAUAGCGCACAAGUAGAGUGAUCGAAAGAUGAAAAGCACUUUGAAAAGAGAGUUAAAAAGCACGUGAAAUUGUUGAAAGGGAAGCUUAUGUCAUCAGAAAUGACGUCAAUGUUCAGCCUUUUGGUGUAUUCAUUGGCCGUCAAGCUAGCAUCAAUUGGCAUCGUCGGAUAAAAGUGUCGGAAAUGUAGCUCCUCCGGGAGUGUUAUAGUCCGUCACAGAAUGCGACGAAUGCCGAUUGAGGACCGCUUACAGGAUGC
rnacentral:rRNA from 1 species